rnacentral:pre_miRNA from 1 species
ACAACAUUUGAGCCGCCGGUCUAGCGUGCAAUUUCAUCCGCUAGGUGGAAGAUCUUCCCUUUAUCAU